CGCACCGGGACAGCUCGGGAAACCCGUGGUUAAUACCGGAUACUCCCGCACCCCCGCAUGGGGGCGCGGGGAAAGCCCAGACGGCGAGGGAUGGGCCCGCGGCCUGUUAGCUCGUUGGCGGGGUAACGGCCCACCAAGGCGAUGAUGGGUAGCCGGGUUGAGAGACCGACCGGCCAGAUUGGGACUGAGACACGGCCCAGACUCCUACGGGAGGCAGCAGUGGGGAAUCUUGCGCAAUGGGCGGAAGCCUGACGCAGCGACGCCGCGUGCGGGAAGGAGGCCUUCGGGUCGUAAACCGCUUUCAGCAGGGACGAGGCCGCGAGGGACGUACCUGCAGAAGAGCCCCG
rnacentral:rRNA from 1 species